UUUAAGUGCAACCGUGAGUUUCCAUGCCCAAUUUUGAUCGUCCGUCUCAUUUGAAAACUUUUUAUAAUUAGUAUUUUUGUUGUUAUGAGAUGAUAAAACACGAAUAGUAUUUUACUCGUGACUUAUGUUUUUAAAUUUUUUCAAAAAUUAUUCAAAUAAGACGGACGAUCAAAGUUGGGCGCGGGAAAUCAUGGCUGCACUUAAA
rfam:Oryza meridionalis cultivar OR44 (W2112) chromosome 4, whole genome shotgun sequence.